rnacentral:rRNA from 1 species
AGUCGAGCGAGCUUGCCUAGAUGAUUUUAGUGCUUGCACUAAAUGAAACUAGAUACAAGCGAGCGGCGGACGGGUGAGUAACACGUGGGUAACCUGCCCAAGAGACUGGGAUAACACCUGGAAACAGAUGCUAAUACCGGAUAACAACACUAGACGCAUGUCUAGAGUUUGAAAGAUGGUUCUGCUAUCACUCUUGGAUGGACCUGCGGUGCAUUAGCUAGUUGGUAAGGUAACAGCUUACCAAGGCAAUGAUGCAUAGCCGAGUUGAGAGACUGAUCGGCCACAUUGGGACUGAGACACGGCCCAAACUCCUACGGGAGGCAGCAGUAGGGAAUCUUCCACAAUGGACGAAAGUCUGAUGGAGCAACGCCGCGUGAGUGAAGAAGGGUUUCGGCUCGUAAAGCUCUGUUGGUAGUGAAGAAAGAUAGAGGUAGUAACUGGCCUUUAUUUGACGGUAAUUACUUAGAAAGUCACGGCUAACUACGUGCCAGCAGCCGCGGUAAUACGUAGGUGGCAAGCGUUGUCCGGAUUUAUUGGGCGUAAAGCGAGUGCAGGCGGUUCAAUAAGUCUGAUGUGAAAGCCUUCGGCUCAACCGGAGAAUUGCAUCAGAAACUGUUGAACUUGAGUGCAGAAGAGGAGAGUGGAACUCCAUGUGUAGCGGUGGAAUGCGUAGAUAUAUGGAAGAACACCAGUGGCGAAGGCGGCUCUCUGGUCUGCAACUGACGCUGAGGCUCGAAAGCAUGGGUAGCGAACAGGAUUAGAUACCCUGGUAGUCCAUGCCGUAAA